UUUCUUUAUGUAAUGGUAAAGUUUAUUUCAUUUUGAAUAACAAUUAGAGGACAAAAUGUUUAAAAUUUGCAGUUUAAAACAUGCACAUUCACAAAAGGCCAAAGACAUGUAACACUGCAUAGAAAUGAAUAUUACUCAACUUUAAUAACUAUUUAUAAAACACAGUGCAUUUUACAUCAAGAUAAACAAACCUGAGAAAACUACUAUAAUCACAAAAUUCACACUCCUCACUCAUGCAGCUUUACAAUUUCUACAGCAGUUUCAGCAGGAAUGGUUUCUUAUGGAGCUGAAAAUAGUACUUUAUCUUUAAUGCAAACUGCAGUUUUCCAUAGCUGCCUUCCAAGGCUGCCUUUUUAUUUUUACCUAAUAAACCUGAAAAUGUGAAAAAUGAAGCUUGAAGUAGUUAAACAACAAACAGUAUUUACUACAUUUAUGGCUUCUAUUCUAGAACCAUGAAACAUAAAAAUAGAUAUUUUUAAUAUUCUGCCCACAUCUUUGCAAGGGCAGACUUACCUAUGGAAAGUUGUUAUUAAUUCAAAAUAAGCAAAUGUGAAAUCUAGUUUUUUUUCCUAUUUAAGGGAGAUUUAUUUGCUGAGAAGUUUUGUGAGCUUUAUUAAGAAAAGUUCUCAGAGGCAAGUUAAACAAAAGAAUCAAUUAAAUUUGUUCAAAUUUGUUUGUAAAAUUUAUUUAUUUAUUAAAAAUGUUGUAUGGAGGAUCAAUUAAUAUGUCCACUGAAUAUUAAAUUUCAGAUAGGCCAUGACAGGAUUUGAUAAGGCAGAAAUAAACAUUAGAUUUAUAGCAAUAGCCAUGCACUGGCCUAGAUCACUUUAAAUAUUAAUUCAUGCAAACCAUAAACCUAUCAAAAACACAGCUGCUCUCAUACAGAAAAUAAAUCAAGAUGAAAAAUGGAAAACAUUUAUUUCCUUUCCUUCAAAAUUUAGCUUACAUUCCAUUUUAAUAGCUGUUGAAGGUUAAUUAAAAUGCAGCAAAGUAUAACUAAGUUUCACAAGGGACCUCAGUUAUUUUAAUGUGAGAAAAAUCAGAGUAUGGUAUCUUUAAGAGGCAUUAUAGAAAUGUUCAUUAUUAAAAAGCAUUUAUUAGGCACUGAACUGCAUGAUGUUACUGUCAGUAAUUUCCAAAAAGAUUUCCACAGACUGGUCAUUGUGAUGUGAGUGGGCUGGGCAUUUUCAUGGUCAAUUUUUGUGUAGAUGUUUCUUUAUAAGAUUAAAGAUUUAUUUAAUGAAAUAAAUUUUAAAACCAAGGGCAACUGCAUGAAAAUAAACCUCGAUGAUUUGUAAUACUUAUGACACUAUUAUAAAUAAUUUAUAAAUUACAAACAUACAAUCUAUUACUUUUUGACUAGCAUUCAUUUCCCAAAAGAACGCUUUAAAUGACAGGUUGUAAGUGCAUACAAUGUAGGACAAACUAUCAUGUGACUUUUCCUACUGGAUAGUUAGAAGGCUGAAUUGAAAGAUUAAAAUAUAAAAUUUAAUGAUAGAAUACUGACUGAUUUCUAUAAUUCACCCCCUCCCCAGAAAUUAAGAGGAAUCACUGAUUCCACUCACUGAUUAUACAACUCGUGUAAAUGGCUCACCCUACUUAGCAGAAUACACACGAACCUGACUCGCUUAGGAGAAAGUUUUCCAGUGAGUUAGCAACAGUGCUGGCACUGUCUCUCGAGAGCCUGGAGUGGAGGCGGGAGGACAGGAAGCACACUCAUAAUUUAAAAUUUACUACAUUCCUGAGAAACACUGUUUUCCUGCUAAUAAAUUCUACAAUAUAGCAUCUUUCUGGGUGUGAGACACCGACAGAUUUUUAUAUGUAUAUAUAAAAACAUUUAGAAAUUCCAUAAUAAUACCACUCUGUACUAUCCAACAUUAAAGAAGUACCUCCCAACUUUCCAAUGCUAAAGGAGUGAGGAUUUUCUACUACACAUAGUAUUUUCUGAAUUGUAAACAUUGUUAGCAUUUGCCAGGGUCCCUACGAGGGACUUUUAAACUGAAGAGUACGUGUCCUUUGUUUCAGAAUAUACAUGUUAAAAGUCACUUUGACUGGUUAUUUUCAUCCUAGUAAAACCAUGUGUCUUUUUACCAAUUCAGGAAGGUUAAAGACUUGGGGGGGGGGAGUAUUUUCUCUAAUUUAAGUACUACUAUAAAGUUACUGCAAUUGCAAGGCUAUAUUUCAAGUUUUAUCAAAAUGGUCACUCCCUGCCUCCUAUCCCUAACCCCACCCAAUAAGCAAAGAGAUUGACUUAACAUCAAUAAUUCAAAAAUAAUCAUGGGAUGAAAAGGCAUAAAUUAGUCACAUUUCAGAUCACGAAGGUGUAUAUUGAUUAACCAGGAGUAUUCUUUUCAUGUUGAAGAGCUCCACCAAAACAAUCCAUGUUUCAAGAUAAAAUUAAAAUUUUCAAUUUUCAUGUUUCAGUUGGAAAAUUCAGUUCUAUUCUAAAAUUUUGAUCCUAAAAUUUUGGAGAAGGAUGCCACUGAUGAGGUGUGGCACAGGGAAACAGCUCUUCUCUGCAAGUGCUCUGGAGUAUUUCUCUGGAGGGAUGCUCUUCAUUCUUGUGGAUUUUUGUGGUUUGGCCUCAACUACCACCCGGGGAGACCCAGGAAGAGCCUCUCUGAACAUCCAUUUGACAGACAGUUCAAGUCUGUGAUUUCAGAAUUUCAAAGAUGGUCUUAAGACUCUACACCCGUGGUCUUGCUAGAUGUUUUGAUUCAUGAUUCUCUUAAUCUGAAUCCCAAAAUGGGAGGGUCUGAAAAUUGAAGUGUGUAAACCCCCGUGUUUCCUUUAGGUGAGAACUGUGUGUAUGUGUUAUGACCUCUUAUUUGUAGAAAUGUACAUACUGGUAUCUGGCUGCACAUACAGAGGAAGAAACAGUAUACAUUAUAAUUUUAAAUCUUGAUCCAGAAAAAGGGGGAAAAAUAUGAAGUGAUUAAACUCAGGGGACAGUUUGGGAAAUCAUCUCUCUUCUCAAUUCUAGUGGAUUUUCUUUGAAGUAUUACCUAUUUUGCUGGUAAGUCCACUUAAAGGCAAACAGGCUUUUGAAUAAAAGGCAAAAAAGUUUGCUUCUAUCUCUGAAAUAUAUCUGAAAACUAGAAUUCCUUUUUUUUUCUUUUUAAAUGAAAGCAUUAUUCUAAAAAUAGUGUAGAAAACUGGUUGUGUUUUUUAAACAGCCCCUUCACCAUUUAUCGUUGGUAGCAAAAUAGGCAUUUUCAGGAGACAUCAUGGAAAUGCUGAAAAAAAUUAAGCUCAACAUACAUUUUAAAACACAUUAAAUGAACUCUAUUCAUGAUGAAAAUGUUCUUUGUAGCAUUAUGGGCUUGGGUAAAAUAGGUAUUUUUUAAAAUGGGAAAAGUGUACUACUUAUUUGUCCUAAUAAGCAGUAUAUGACCAAUUUUGGAAACAGCUUGAUGAGUGAACUGUGAAAUAAUCAAGUCUUAAGGACAGAGACAGUCACCGUAACACAUAGUAUGCUACAUAAGUGAGCAGGCAUCUCUAGUGGGAACAAAUAGUGAGAACAAAACACAUUACAAGAGCUGAGCCUAUGCACAUUACAGAAGCCCAUGCAUUGAUCCGACACAUUAUUCCAAGUAUCUUAACAGAAAGCUUUGGAAACCCCACAUAAAUGUGUAAUAAGCAUAAUUUUCUUACAAGGGAAAACUUUAAGACAAAAUGGCAUCACUCAAUCUACAGCAGAAGCCAGACUUUUAGAAAAGUCUAAGGGAUGAUGAGACUAUCAGAAAUGACUGAGACAUAAAUAAAAUUUUAAAAAUCAGCAUUGUAAUGACAGUCACAUUAGCACAUGUGCCCUUUAACUUGAACAAAGAAACAACACAAACAACAAAGAAGCACUUGUAAGGCCGAAGGUGCAACAUCACAGAUUGGAGUAGCAAAUGCCUUGAAAUAUUAAUUUUUGCAAAUCACUCUCACAUUUGAAAAGUCAAGCAUGCAGAUCUUACAGCAGAACUGGAAGUAAACUUUCUCUUAAAUUUCUGGGCAAAUGACUACUGAAUGAGAAAUACACUUACUGAACUUCUUUGGCAAACAUUUAUCAAGACAAUUUUUGACACAAACACUUAUUAAUGCCUUGUUUAGAAAUGCUCAGUAAGGUGAGUCAGUUCCUUAAGAAUGCUGGUUUGCUUCAGCAUAUCCUGAAAUCUAGGUCUGGAUAUCAAGAGUACCUUUAGCUGAACAUCAUUUUUAGAGCUUCCAAAUGGCUGGUCGCCUUGUGGUACAGCCAGUGAACUGACAGUUACAGACCCAGAGCAAUGGUGUGAGAAGACCAACCUGCUCUUGGAUUAAGAAAACACUCCGGCAAGACAUGAGGUCAUUUUUAAUUUCUGUAUACAAAGCCUUAGCGGACACUUUAAAAAUACGAGAAAGAUGGUGUUACAGUGCAGCUACACAGCACUAUGUCUGCAAUGUACGUGGAUCUGAAGGCCCAUCAAAGAGAUGAGCUCAGANGUAGAAAUGUACAUACUGGUAUCUGGCUGCACAUACAGAGGAAGAAACAGUAUACAUUAUAAUUUUAAAUCUUGAUCCAGAAAAAGGGGGAAAAAUAUGAAGUGAUUAAACUCAGGGGACAGUUUGGGAAAUCAUCUCUCUUCUCAAUUCUAGUGGAUUUUCUUUGAAGUAUUACCUAUUUUGCUGGUAAGUCCACUUAAAGGCAAACAGGCUUUUGAAUAAAAGGCAAAAAAGUUUGCUUCUAUCUCUGAAAUAUAUCUGAAAACUAGAAUUCCUUUUUUUUUCUUUUUAAAUGAAAGCAUUAUUCUAAAAAUAGUGUAGAAAACUGGUUGUGUUUUUUAAACAGCCCCUUCACCAUUUAUCGUUGGUAGCAAAAUAGGCAUUUUCAGGAGACAUCAUGGAAAUGCUGAAAAAAAUUAAGCUCAACAUACAUUUUAAAACACAUUAAAUGAACUCUAUUCAUGAUGAAAAUGUUCUUUGUAGCAUUAUGGGCUUGGGUAAAAUAGGUAUUUUUUAAAAUGGGAAAAGUGUACUACUUAUUUGUCCUAAUAAGCAGUAUAUGACCAAUUUUGGAAACAGCUUGAUGAGUGAACUGUGAAAUAAUCAAGUCUUAAGGACAGAGACAGUCACCGUAACACAUAGUAUGCUACAUAAGUGAGCAGGC
rnacentral:lncRNA from 1 species